CCGAUUGGAGCCCCCGCGCUCCGGCUGC
rnacentral:sRNA from 1 species